rnacentral:lncRNA from 10 species
AGACUGUUUUUGGGGUUGUGCACAAUGGUGUGAGAAACACUACCCUGCUUCCAGAGUGGCCAGAAACACUCUUUUUCAGAGAGCUGAACAGGCAUUAAAAUUUAAUGGUCUGCUUUCAUUUUCUCCGCAGUGUGCUUCAAGAUGAUUAUAAAUUACAGCAUUCUGCUUACUUUUGACGGAAUAAGUCAUGUAUCAGCAUUUGAUUUAGAAGCUAUGUGUGCUUGACAUAUGAAACACAUCUUGCAGAUGUGAUUUAUCACAGAGCUCUUUUUUUUUGUUUCAGGACAAAAUAGCUGAACAGGAGGCUCACCAUUGUGACAGUGACCGCCAUCCCCACAGUGGGGGUAUGGCUGUGGCUUCCGAAGAUUGAAUCUUAGGAGUCUGAAAAAUCUGAAUUUAUCUCUAUUUUUCAAGUUGAGGAAUUCUUUUGUUUUUCAAAGCUCAACAUGAUUCCUAAAGAUCUCACUCUUUAAAAAAAAAAAAAACAAAACUGCUGGGAAAAGAUGGGCAAGGCAUUACUAAAUAUGGGAAUUUUCUCCCAAAGUUAGAUGGGGUGUCACAGAGCAAGACAUCCCCCUGUAAUGCCAGGGCAAUUUGGGAAGCUGCUGGCUUAUAGGGCCUCUGAUGCAAUAUGACUGGCUCAGGAGGCAGGUUGAGAGCAGAUGGGGGAUUUGUCAUUUGGAUGGGUAUGAGACUAGAGGGAUGGUCUAUAAAGGCAAAGCCUGAUUCUGCUGUCAGCUAGUAUAUUUCUUUGCCUCUGAAUCUAUAUCUGCUGGUGAACUGAGCUGCAACAUGGCCAAUCCAUUCAUUUCAGCAUCUCUUUAGCAACAGCUCUGAUGACUGUCGCCAAAAUAGUUGUGUGAGGACCCACACUGAUCAUGAAAUGAUUUAACCAAACAAUCAGCUGGGCCAUGCUUUAUUUACCAAGUCUGACUAAUAACUAUAACAAAGCUGCAGAAAUCCUAAAUAUUAUUUCAGAAUCACAUUUCCCGUAGAAGGUGUAACUUGGAAGUAUAUUCCCCUUCUUUGUCUCCUACUGCAUCCUUUGCAUCCUUAUAAAACCAAAUUCACGUUUCACCUUACCUCUUCUGUGUAGCUUUAUCAGCACCUCCUGUUAGUUAUUCAUGGCCUCUUCUCUUUGGACAGUCUAUUCCAGUACUUGUGACACCGUACUGUAAUUAUCUGUGAUCUUUCUUCCUCCCCCUAUGUUAUUCUGUAAGACCUAACUCUUAAUCAUCUUCCUCUCCUCAGUCCCUAGUAUACAGCCUGACAUAAAAUAGGCUCUCAAUAACAUUUUUAGGUGAAUUAAUGUUGAAUGAAUAUAUAAAUGAAUGAUUAUUUCAGUCAAAGGAAUAUGUGAGAGUAUAUAGCAGGCCUGGUAAUAGUCCCUUAACAUCUCUUUCUCCUUUUCAUAUGGGAAAAGAAAUCUCAGUUUUUAGCUGGGCACGUGGCUUCCUGGAAUUAAGACUUUGUUUCUCAGCCUCACCUGCAGCUAGGCAUGAUUAUUUUCUAGAAUGGGUCAAUGGGAUGUAGGUGGAAGUGGUAUGGUAAUUUAGGCAGUGUUCUUGAGCACAGCUGGACAGAGACUGUAAUGGCUGCAGCUCUAGCAGUCAGUUUAUACUCCAGGGUGUUCUUGGGAUUGAAAGCCCUGUACUGCAGAACAAGAUUGAAGGAAUUGGGGGUUCUGGUACCACAGAGAGCACACUAACCCUGGCCUGAUUACUUACAGGUUUCUUGAAUGUGAGAGGAGAAAAACAAAAGCAAAAAAAAAAAAAAAAAAACUCACCCUCAUAAACUGUGUGAAUUGAAAUCCUUGCUAUGAUUUACCAGCAGGACCAGCUACAUAAUUUGUAGGCUUUGGUGCAAAAUAAAAAUGAGAUAUCCUUUGUUCAAACAUGAUUAACAAUCCCAAGACAGCAACAGCACAGAUUAAAGCAGAUGCAUAGAACCCUGUGUGAUGAAGCUGACCUUGCUUACAAGGCCUGAUAUUACUUGAUUCCUGCCAAAACUUCUUGAAACUCACUUUGUAUCAAUGCCAUCAUCACUUACUGCAUUUUAGCCACAGAGGCCUUGUUUCCUGGACAAACUAAACUCUUUCCUGCCGUAAGACAUUUGGACUUGGCUUUUCCAAG